AUUUUAGUAGCUUAUUUAGAGUUUAAUAUUGAAGAUGUUAAGGAGGUCUUUUGAUUCUAGGAUAU
rnacentral:tRNA from 1 species